GCAUCGGUAGUUUAGUGGUAAAAUCAAGCAUUCCCAUGUAAAUUUGCUUGGCCCCGGGUUCGAUUCCCGGCCGUUGCA